rnacentral:lncRNA from 1 species
AUACUCAGAUCAACUACCAGAUGCUUAAGACUGAUAAAAGCCUCUAAGUUCAAGAGAGUUCAGACCAUCUAUUAUCCACAUCCAUCAGAUCAUCCUUAUCACUGCGCAAUAAUAAUCAUAACGUGGUAGGCAAUCUGGGCCCUACUUCUCAAGUAUAUAGGGUGGUUGGUCCAACAGCCCUUGACUUAAGACUUUUUUAAUUGAGACACCAUGGCUGCCAUAAUUCUUUAAAACGAGAUCUGCAUACUGUCCGCGGACAUUCUUUCUAAACAAAUCACAGAUCUUGUCAUUCCUAAUCUCAGUUACCCAAAAUUUACUCUAUGUAGUAUUUAACAACCAUUAUAUCUCAUGGGAAGUUAAACAGUAAAUUGUGAAGGAGAGAGACUACCUGAGCAGUUGAGAGCCUAACGCUCUGCUGAAAUGGAUCGUACUAUCACCUUGUGAACAUCGUGGCCCAAAAGCUCCCUGCCUUUUUUCAGAUGAACAGUUAGUUCCAGAAACUCUUUAAUUGGAUCUAACCUGCACCUAGGCCACAUCAGUCUGAAUCCCAUCCAUAGCAGAAGUCUUUGGAAUGGAAAGAAAAAAUUCCUGACUGAACUCUUCAUAUUUGAAAUUGGAAGCUUUGAAAAACAAUGAUCAAAAUACAUCAGAAAUGUAAAAGGCACUCAAAUGGUAUAAAGGAGAAAAAAUACUCAUACAAAUGGUUGCGAAGAAUUACGGACUGGACCGUUGAAAAUGAGGAAAAGAGUGAGAAUCAGGUGGCCAAGGUAGAACAUUUGCAAAUAGGAAAGAGUUUGGAAGAAAGAAAAGGAACAGAAGGAAAUGGAAGAAAAGAAAGGACACAGGAAGAGGCUCACAUGGAUAGCAAAGUGAAUGCAGGAAGAUUGGAGAAGUUGUCUUUCCUCAGUGAGGCGCUGAAUUUCCUCAGGAAGACAGGCUAGUACUUGCAGCAAAGCAUACUGCACUCACUAUUACCCAAGGCAAAGGAGGUGGUCCAGUAUUGAAAGGAGAUUAACUACUGCUACAACUAUUGCCUGGCUAUUGCCUAGUUGGAUGACUAAGACCAGAAGAUGAAGGUCAUAUUGAAGAUUCCUAGUGUGGCAAGGGAUUA